GCCAGACCAAAGCUCAGAGGACAAACCAGCAGCACAGACCAGACUCUGAUGAACUCAGUCGGGUGUCUGUCAAGAAUCUGCGGUCGAUAUUUGAACCAAAGAAGUUCAACGAUGGACAUAAAUCUGCUGGUCAGAGGAUGCAGCAGCAGA